rnacentral:rRNA from 1 species
UGGGGAAUCUUCCGCAAUGGGCGAAAGCCUGACGGAGCAAUGCCGCGUGAGUGAAGAAGGCCUUCGGGUUGUAAAACUCUGUCCUUAUCGAAGAGAGGUAGGUAUGUGAAUAAUGUACCUAUAGGACGGUAGAUAAGGAGGAAGCCCCGGCUAACUACGUGCCAGCAGCUGCGGUAAUACGUAGGGGGCGAGCGUUGUCCGGAAUCACUGGGCGUAAAGGGCGCGUAGGCGGUUUAAUAAGUCAGUGGUGAAAACUGAGGGCUCAACCCUCAGCCUGCCACUGGUACUGUUAGACUUGAGUAUGGAAGAGGAGAAUGGAAUUCCUAGUGUAGCGGUGAAAUGCGUAGAUAUUAGGAGGAACACCAGUGGCGAAGGCGAUUCUCUGGGCCAAGACUGACGCUGAGGCGCGAAAGCGUGGGGAGCAAACAGGAUUAGAUACCC